rnacentral:rRNA from 1 species
AGUGAACGCUGGCGGUAGGCCUAACACAUGCAAGUCGAACGGCAGCACAGUAAGAGCUUGCUCUUACGGGUGGCGAGUGGCGGACGGGUGAGGAAUACAUCGGAAUCUACUUUUUCGUGGGGGAUAACGUAGGGAAACUUACGCUAAUACCGCAUACGACCUACGGGUGAAAGCAGGGGAUCUUCGGACCUUGCGCGAUUGAAUGAGCCGAUGUCGGAUUAGCUAGUUGGCGGGGUAAAGGCCCACCAAGGCGACGAUCCGUAGCUGGUCUGAGAGGAUGAUCAGCCACACUGGGACUGAGACACGGGCCAGACUCCUAAGGGAGGCAGCAGUGGGGAAUAUUGGACAAUGGGCGCAAGCCUGAUCCAGCCCUACCGCGUGGGUGAAGAAGGCCUUCGGGUUGUAAAGCCCUUUUGUUGGGAAAGAAAAGCAGCAGGUUAAUCCCCCGCUGUUCUGACGGUAACCAAAGAAUAAGCACCGGCUAACUUCGUG